UCGCAUCCGCCAAUCGGUCCAGCCGUGUCGCGGAAGGUUUCUUAAACCAGCUAGUGCUUCCUGCAGGGAAGUGAAGGUCAGCG
rfam:Variovorax sp. PAMC 28711, complete genome.